ACGAAGGAUGCGAGCGUUAUCCGGAUUUAUUGGGUUUAAAGGGUGCGUAGGCGGUCUUAUAAGUCAGUGGUGGAAUCCUAUCGCUUAACGAUAGACGUGCCAUUGAUACUGUAGGACUUGAGUACAGAUGCCGUUGGCGGAAUGUGUCAUGUAGCGGUGAAAUGCAUAGAUAUGACACAGAACACCGAUUGCGAAGGCAGCUGACGAAACUGUAACUGACGCUGAUGCACGAAAGUGUGGGGAUCAAACAGGA
rnacentral:rRNA from 1 species